UGAAGAUGAAGAAGAGGAAGAAGAGA
rnacentral:piRNA from 1 species